CAAGUCGAGCGGAACGAGUUAUCUGAACCUUCGGGGAACGAUAACGGCGUCGAGCGGCGGACGGGUGAGUAAUGCCUAGGAAAUUGCCCUGAUGUGGGGGAUAACCAUUGGAAACGAUGGCUAAUACCGCAUAAUGCCUACGGGCCAAAGAGGGGGACCUUCGGGCCUCUCGCGUCAGGAUAUGCCUAGGUGGGAUUAGCUAGUUGGUGAGGUAAGGGCUCACCAAGGCGACGAUCCCUAGCUGGUCUGAGAGGAUGAUCAGCCACACUGGAACUGAGACACGGUCCAGACUCCUACGGGAGGCAGCAGUGGGGAAUAUUGCACAAUGGGCGCAAGCCUGAUGCAGCCAUGCCGCGUGUGUGAAGAAGGCCUUCGGGUUGUAAAGCACUUUCAGUCGUGAGGAAGGUAGUGUAGUUAAUAGCUGCAUUAUUUGACGUUAGCGACAGAAGAAGCACCGGCUAACUCCGUGCCAGCCGC
rnacentral:rRNA from 1 species